rnacentral:rRNA from 1 species
AGAAUCAACGCUGGCGGCGUGCCUAACACAUGCAAGUCGAGCGGGAAAGGGGGCUUCGGCCCCUGAGUAUAGCGGCGGACGGGUGAGUAACACGUGGGUAAUUUGCCCUUGGGUGUGGAAUAACUCAGGGAAACUUGAGCUAAUACCGCAUGACAUCCCCUUCACACACGAGUCGGGGAUCAAAGCCGGGGACCCUUCGGGGCCUGGCGCCUGAGGAGAAGCCCGCGCCCGAUUAGCUAGUUGGUGAGGUAAUGGCUCACCAAGGCUUCGAUCGGUAGCCGGCCUGAGAGGGCGGACGGCCACACUGGGACUGAGACACGGCCCAGACUCCUACGGGAGGCAGCAGUGGGGAAUUUUUGUCAAUGGGGGAAACCCUGAACAAGCAACGCCGCGUGGAGGACGACGACCUUCGGGUUGUAAACUCCUGUCGGAGGGGACGAAAGCGGUCGAGGCUAAUAUCCUCGGCUGUUGACGGUACCCUACGAGGAAGCCCCGGCUAACUCCGUGCCAGCAGCCGCGGUAAUACGGGGGGGGCAAGCGUUGUUCGGAAUUACUGGGCGUAAAGGGCGCGUAGGCGGGCGGGCAAGUCUCUCGUGAAAUCCCACGGCUCAACCGUGGAACUGCGGGAGAUACUGCCUGUCUUGAGUCCGGGAGAGGAGGGUGGAAUUCCCAGUGUAGCGGUGAAAUGCGUAGAUAUUGGGAGGAACACCGGUGGCGAAGGCGGCUCUCUGGACCGGUACUGACGCUGAGGCGCGAAAGCUAGGGGAGCAAACGGGAUUAGAUACCCCGGUAGUCCUAGCCGUAAACGAUGAGCACUUGGUGUGGCGGGUAUCGACCCCCGCCGUGCCGAAGCUAACGCAUUAAGUGCUCC